rnacentral:lncRNA from 1 species
UGAAUAUAAAAAAGAAGAUGUGGUAUGAUUGCCAAUGAGACAACUAUCCACAAAAGACCAAAAUGACACAGACAUUAACAACUAUAGGUCACCGUACGGCCUUCAACAAUGAGCAAAGCCCAUACCGCAUAGUCAGCUAUAAAAGGCCUCGAUAAGACAAUGUAAAACAAUUCAAACGAGAAAACUAACGGCUUUAUUUAUGUAAAAAAAUUAACGAAAAGCAAAUAUGUAACACAUAAACAAACGACAAC